rnacentral:lncRNA from 1 species
UGGGAGUUGUGCAACUGAUCCUUUGACCUGAGAUCACCAUGGUAUCUUGUGCACAUGAACCUAUGUUUUGGUUUACACUCAUUCAUGACAAUAAGUUCUGUACGAGGUCUUCUGGAUAUGGUGGAUUGUGUACGAAGAUUAUGAGUAGGUCAACAAGGAAUUAAUCACUUCUAGUAAGAGAAGAUAGCAUCCCAUUUAUUCUAAUCAUAUGAUAAUUCAAGAAGCCUUUGAUCAAAGCAGAAUGAAAAUUAGAAAGAGUUUCUAAUAUUUCAUUAUUUGAAUUAUCAUUAAAAGAUUGAGAAAAAUAUGAAUAUGAAAUUGAGUUUGACAUAUAUUCAUACUCAUAUACAUAUUUGGGAUGCAGUUUGAUUAAAGGAUUGAAUUGCAUGGUAACUUGCCACUGAAGGGUAUUUUUGGUAUUUCCACCAAAUUCCAUAUUUUCUAGGUAGACAUGACACGUUGCUAGACGUCAAUCUUGUUUUAUAGGUUUGAUCGAAUUAAAGAGUUUAAUUCGAUCACCAAUU